GUGUCAGCCGCCGCGGUAAUACAGAGGGUGCGAGCGUUAAUCGGAAUUACUGGGCGUAAAGCGCACGUAGGUGGUUCUGUAAGUCGGAUGUGAAAGCCCCGGGCUUAACCUGGGAACUGCAUUCGAGACUGCAGUACUGGAGUAUGGGAGAGGGAAGCGGAAUUUCCGGUGUAGCGGUGAAAUGCGUAGAUAUCGGAAGGAACAUCAGUGGCGAAAGCGGCUUCCUGGCCCAAUACUGACACUCAUGUGCGAAAGCGUGGGGAGCAAACAGGAUUAGAAACCCUCGUAGUCC
rnacentral:rRNA from 1 species